rnacentral:rRNA from 1 species
GAUGAUCGCUGGCGGCGUGCCUAAUACAUGCAAGUUGUGCGGUAACAGAGAGAGCUUGCUCUCUGCUGACGAGCGGCGGACGGCAGAGUAACGCGUAGGAACAUACCCCAAACUGAGGGAUAACUGCUCGAAAGAGUAGCUAAUACCGCAUGUGGUCUUCGGAUUAAAGCUUCGGCGGUUUGGGAGUGGCCUGCGUCCGAUUAGCUAGUUGGUGAGGUAAUUGCUCACCAAGGCGACGAUCGGUAGCUGGUCUAAGAGGAUGAUCAGCCUGACUGGAACUGAGAACGGUCCAGACUCCUACGGGAGGCAGCAGUAGGGAAUUUUCCACAAUGGGCGAAAGCCUGAUGGAGCAACGCCGCGUGCAGGAUGAAUGCCUUCGGGUUGUAAACUGCUUUUCUGUGUGAAGAAUAUGACGGUAACACAGGAAUAAGGGUCGGCUAACUACGUGCCAGCAGCCGCGGUAAU